rnacentral:rRNA from 1 species
CCUACGGGAGGCUGCAGUGGGGAAUAUUGGGCAAUGGACGCAAGUCUGACCCAGCAACGCCGCGUGAAGGAAGAAGGCUUUCGGGUUGUAAACUUCUUUUAACAGGGAAGAGAAGAAGACGGUACCUGUUGAAUAAGCCACGGCUAACUACGUGCCAGCAGCCGCGGUAAUACGUAGGUGGCAAGCGUUGUCCGGAUUUACUGGGUGUAAAGGGCGUGUAGCCGGGAAGGCAAGUCAGAUGUGAAAUCUGGAGGCUCAACCUCCAAACUGCAUUUGAAACUGCUUUUCUUGAGUAUCGGAGAGGUAAUCGGAAUUCCUUGUGUAGCGGUGAAAUGCGUAGAUAUAAGGAAGAACACCAGUGGCGAAGGCGGAUUACUGGACGACAACUGACGCUGAGGCGCGAAAGCGUGGGGAGCAAACAGGCUUAGAUACCCCUGUAGUC